CCUACGGGUGGCAGCAGUGGGGAAUAUUGCGCAAUGGGCGCAAGCCUGACCCAGCAACGCCGCGUGAAGGAAGAAGGAUUUCGGGUUGUAAACUUCUUUUAUCAGGGACGAAGCAAGAGACGGUACCUGAAGAAUAAGCCACGGCUAACUACGUGCAAGCAGCCGCGGUAAUACGUAGGGGGCAAGCGUUAUCCGGAUUUACUGGGUGUAAAGGGCGUGUAGGCGGGAGUGCAAGUCAGAUGUGAAAACAAAGGGCUCAACCCAGAGCCUGCAUUUGAAACUGUACAUCUUGAGUGCUGGAGAGGCAAGCGGAAUUCCGAGUGUAGCGGUGAAAUGCGUAGAUAUACGGAGGAACACCAGUGGCGAAGGCGGCUUACUGGACAGUAACUGACGCUGAGGCGCGAAAGCGUGGGGAGCAAACAGGAUUAGAUACCCGAGUAGUC
rnacentral:rRNA from 1 species